UCUUCAAUGCAAGAAAUUACAGGUAUCUUAGCUGGAAGUAUAGAUAUGUUGUAUUAUAUUGCAUUAUAUAUUGCUUUAUUGUCCAGAAACAGUUUAUUUAUUUAUUUGUAAGUGCAAAGUCUGUGCUUCAAGAAUUAUGAGGACGUUGAGAUUCAAUGUAACAUAGGAAAUGGGAAGACUCUCAGGUGUCAAAUAGACCUGGGUUUUAACACAGACCUGACACUUCCCUGUGGAAGUAGCAAAUAUAUCAUCUCCUUGAUAACAGUUACUUCAUCUCUAAAAUGGGGAUAAUAAUACCUGUAAAAUAUUGUGAAGCUUGAAUAAAUGAUAGCUGUGAAGUAUCUGUUAUAAGACACAGAGAGACAAAUGUUUUGUUUUAUUUUACAUCUGCUUUGUAGGCAAAAUAACAUUGAAAACAUACACUUUGUUAAGUAAACUAGCAUAUACCAGGUGGAUAAUACACAUGUAGCAGAACCAUAUACAGACUCUUUGGGAAAUGGUACAAAGGAAAUUAAAAAUAGAAGAUAAAAAUGUUAUGAAGUCAAAUGAGAAGUAAUAUAGUAUGGAUACAAUACAUGACAGAAAUGUCUAUCUGAUACUUUCAGAUUUUUAAGCCAAGGAUGGGUAUGCAAAUAUAUAAACUAUUUUGAGCCAUUAAUUGAUACAAAUUUCCCCUGCUUGUCAAGAAACUUUGUAUUCUUUGUUAAUGAGUGAAGUUACAUAAAUACACACAUGUACCUAAUGCUUAUAUAUGAAUAUGGGGUAUAAAAAUUACUUUUAUCCCUUCGCCCUUAAAAAACAAGAUUUGGCAACAUGUAGAUUGCAAGGAAAAGCUGAAAAAAAAAAGAUGAAAAUCCAAAUUUGAAAUGUCUCUCAACUCCCACACAUGUUCUUAUAUAUUACUUUCAGCCUCCAAAUUAUGAAAAAUGUUUCUGUAGAACCUAUCAACUCUCUCAAUAAAAAUAUCCCAGGUUGUCAUGGUGACAUAGUUCUUUCCCCUGCAGAAUCCUGUAGUCUGGUACAGUGAUUUCCUAAUUCUUUAUGGUUGUGGAAUGUUUCCUUUCUUUUUUUUUUUUUUUCCACAUGGUUUCUCAUUUUUCCAACCUAAGAUUACAUCUUAGCCUGCUACGGUGGUGGCAAACUAAAGAUUUAAUUUGAAACAAGGAAGAUUUAAAUAGUGGUCUUAUAAUAGUAAAUUAAUCUGGAAAGCUGAUGGAAUGUAUGUAUGAGUGUAUGUUCUGCAGUCGUCUUUGAUGAAAACAUUACAGCACUCACCCCUUGCUAGAAUCUAUUUCUUUCCUAACCUGUGUGGGCUGAUUAAAUUAAGAACUCUCAAUGUCCAGGCUUUUAAACCAGAGGUACAAUUCUAGGAGUUUGGUAGUCAGAAUAUGAAAUUUAGAUUAGCCUUUUUCUCCUCUCUAUCCCAAAUGCUUUGUUCUUCCCAUCUCUCAAUCCUGAAUGGAGCUUUGCAGAUUUGUGAGUCCCUAUAGUGCAGAGACUUGUGGAUGUUAUGGAAUAGAGCUCACCUCUGACAAAUUAUCUUGCUGCCUGGUUUGGUCUGUUUUAGGGCUCCUAGGGUUAUCUUUAUGGGAAGAUAUUAAGGAGUAAGAGCAGCCCUCAGCAGGGGUUCCUUGGACACCGGGGAGAACGAAGAGCCUGAGCAAUGGAGCGUCAGAGGACAGCAUGAGAAAGCUGCACGUAAGAAAGAGCAAAAACACUCUGGUUGUUUAAUAUCUACUUGAAGAGAGGGACUUCGUCUUUUGUUUGUCUAAAUAAUGAGUAAGUCAGUGGCUGUUUGGUGGUGACUUUACCAAGUAUUUUGACUCUGCCUGUGCCACUGGACAUUUAGCUGGAAGGAUCCUUUGGUGAAGGCUAACAUCAAAGUGUAAGGUAGGUAUUAACUUUCUUUAAUGAAUUUUUAGUUCAUAAAUAGUUACCUUAAGCUUGGGAAAUCUGGGGUCAUGGAUGUCAAAAAAAAAAAAGAUUUAAGGCAAUCUUUGAGCUAUUAUAAUAUUUUGAAAAAUCUCAUAGGAUAAUUUUAAUGGGACUAUGGAUGAAUUGGAGGCAGGUAGGUAGACUGGGGUAGUUUUUAUUUUCUUUGAAAAUUUAAAACACUUACUAAUUGGGCACAUAAGUACAUAAAUCUUAAAUGUUCAGCUUGAUAAAUUUUCAUGUGUGUGCACUUAUGUAACUGCUAACCGGAGCAUGAACUUUCCAGUGUCCCAGACAUCUCUCAGGUGCUUCUCAGGUGAUGCCCAUUGUACCUUUCACCGCCUGCCCCCUCUCCAUCCUCUGUGGAUAACCACUAUUCUGACUUCUAUCACCAUAAAAUUGUUUUAGUUUCUUGAAUUUUCUGUGAAUGGGAUCAUAGAGUAUAUACUCUUAGGUCUGGCUUCUUUUGCUCAACAUUAUGUGUGUACAUUCAUCCUUGUUGAUACAUGUACCAGUAGUUCUUCCUUUUUAAUUGCUGUGUAAAUGCCAUUGUGUGAUUUAUACCACAUUUAACUUAUCCGUUUUACUGAUAAUUGACACUUGGGUUGUGGCAAAUUUUCAGACCUUCUGAAUAAUAAUGCUGUAAACUUUCCUGUGUGUGUCUUUUUAAAUGGA